rnacentral:rRNA from 1 species
GGCCAGACUCCUACGGGAGGCAGCAGUGGGGGAUAUUGCACAAUGGGGGGAACCCUGAUGCAGCGACGCCGCGUGAACGAAGAAAUAUUUCGGUAUGUAAAGUUCUAUCAGCAGGGAAGAAAAUGACGGUACCUGAAGAAGAAGCCCCGGCUAACUACGUGCCAGCAGCCGCGGUAAUACGUAGGGGGCAAGCGUUAUCCGGAUUUACUGGGUGUAAAGGGGGCGCAGACGGCGAUGCAAGCCAGGAGUGAAAGCCCGGGGCCCAACCCCGGGACUGCUCUUGGAACUGCGUGGCUGGAGUGCAGGAGGGGCAGGCGGAAUUCCUGGUGUAGCGGUGAAAUGCGUAGAUAUCAGGAGGAACACCGGUGGCGAAGGCGGCCUGCUGGACUGCAACUGACGUUGAGGCCCGAAAGCGUGGGGAGCAAACAGGAUUAGAUACCCGAGUAA